UACGUAGGGCGCAAGCGUUGUCCGGAAUUAUUGGGCGUAAAGAGCUCGUAGGCGGCUUAGUAAGUCGGAUGUGAAAACUCGGGGCUCAACCCCGAGACGCCAUCCGAUACUGCUGUGGCUUGAGUCUGGUAGGGGAACACGGAAUUCCUGGUGUAGCGGUGAAAUGCGCAGAUAUCAGGAGGAACACCGAUGGCGAAGGCAGUGUUCUGGGCCAGUACUGACGCUGAGGAGCGAAAGCGUGGGGAGCAAACAGG
rnacentral:rRNA from 1 species